rnacentral:rRNA from 1 species
UACGUAGGGUGCGAGCGUUAAUCGGAAUUACUGGGCGUAAAGCGUGCGCAGGCGGUGAUGUAAGACAGGUGUGAAAUCCCCGGGCUUAACCUGGGAACUGCAUUUGUGACUGGCGGGCUAGAGUAUGGCAGAGGGGGGUAGAAUUCCACGUGUAGCAGUGAAAUGCGUAGAUAUGUGGAGGAAUACCGAUGGCGAAGGCAGCCCCCUGGGCUAAGAUUGACGCUCAUGCACGAAAGCGUGGGGAGCAAACAGG